AUUGGGUAAGCUUAGGAGCUAAAUUGAAGCAAGAGUUUGGGUUAAUCUUCUUCUAAGGUUAUAUGGUUUGCAACUGCGUGGGCAAUAUGGAAAGAACGAAAUAAUAGAAUAUUCAAUGCAAAAGAUUGCUCCAUUUUACAAGUUGUGGACAAGAUUAAGGCGGUAACUUACAGGUGGUUGAGGGUGAAAUUUAUCUCUCUUGCUUUUAAUUACCGCGGUUGGUGGCUUAAUCCGUUCACCAUUAUAGGCAUUGGCUAAGAUCUGGUGAUUGUUGUUUACGUUUUAUGGAUACCGACAUUAGCCUUGUAAUUAUUGUAAUUAUUGUACUUACCUUGUUUUGACUAA